AUGGCGUCCGUCUAUACCGCGCCCCUCGCGCCGCUGCCCGCCACGGCCGCCUCCUUCCCCUCCUCGUCCUCGUCCUCGCGGCAGCUGGACCCCAACCCUAGCCGAUUCCUCGCCGCGCACCGCGGCCAGCGCCUCCUCCGCGUCCGCCGCCUGGCGGGCGCCGCGCCGACCCGCCGCGCCUCCGACGCCGCCUCGGUGUUCCGGUGCGGCGCGCGCAGCUCCGGCGCGGACCCCGGCGGCGAGCCACGCCGAGGCUGGGACGCUCUCUUCCACGAUGCCCUCCAGGGCGCCGUGCGGCGGUGGAGCGAGUACGUCGGGAAUUACUGGCCCUCCGCACACCCCUCGAAGGAGGCGGGUCUCGCGAAGGGAGCGGAGAGUUCUCACGAACUGGAGGAGAGAGGGCAGGGAGUGGAGGAAGACGGUGAGGAGGUGGACGUGGUGCAGGAAGCAGGGAAGUGGAGCUGGGAGAGGUGGAAGCAGCACUUCGCCCUCAUUCAGGAGAGCGAGCGCCUUGUUGAUGAACUGCAGCUACAACUCCGCACUGCUGUGUGUAGAGAAGACUAUAGGAGUGCCCACAAACUGAAGUUAGCUAUUGCUGCUACAUCAAGAAAUGAUACUGUCGGCAGAGCAAUAUCUGAGUUACAUAGGGCCAUAGAAGAGGAGCGCUAUGUGGAUGCAGCUUAUAUUAGAGACCAAGCUGGUGCAGGACUGUUGGGAUGGUGGUCUGGGAUUUCUGGAAGUUUGUCUGAUCCAUAUGGUCUUAUAAUCCGUAUAAGCGCUGAACAUGGUCGAUACGUGGCAAAAAGUUAUGAUAUCAGGCAGCUGGCUUCAGAUGGCCAUGGUUACCCUAUAUUCGAAAUUUAUUUUGCAGAGGCAAAUGGAGGAUACAACCUGCAGGCAGUGCAUCUGAAACCAGAUGUCAGUGAUUCGGACCAGUUGCGAAACAUGUUGAGUGGAAAACUAGAUGUCAACAAUAUAAACAUAUCUAGCAAUUCCUUAGGUGCUAAACACGAGGAACACGAUGAAGGCAUAAACAUGGACGAUCAAAAUAGCGAUGAUAGUGAUGUUGCUGCUGGUCCAGCUGGUUUGAAAAACCUGUCAAAUGAUUCAACUCCAAUUCCCAGGAUCAAAAUAUUGAAGGUAGCGCCUAUGGAAAACAUCAACCAGGACUAUAUAAUUAAAAUAUUUGAUCAGAUUUCAGAGGAAGAUGAUGACAAUGAUGAAGCUGAGAUCGAAAAUGAAUCUUCACAAGAUAUUGGCGAUGAAGAUAACAAUGAAGAAGCAGGAACAAUUUCUGCAGAAGAGAAUAAUGAUGAGUCUGGUGAGGAAAGUGAUAUUGAAGCAUUGUUAUCGAUUGGAAUUGAAGUUGAUAAUGAUAAGGAUUUUGCUUCACAGUCCUCACCUAAAACGUUUGAACGCAUGCCAGCUAAAUUAGACAAGAGAGACCGCUUUUCAUUUACCUUCUAUACUGAACAAUCCAGUAAAAAGCCAGCUGCAGAAAAGGCUCAGCAGAUUCCGAGGAAGCGGGUUGGCUUCCGUACCACUGAGCAGGAUGGUGAUCUCAAGUUUGAUCGUGUAAAGUUGUCUGGGGGCAAUAGGAAACUACCGAUACUACAACUUGGUAUUAAGCAACUUAAUAACAAGGUUCAGCCAAAACUAUAUGGAGUUACCCACUUCAGCCGUAUUCAGAUGCCCAUCUCUUCAGAUCCUCUUAGUGGUCUAUAUGAGACUGCAUCUGGGUUUGACUCAGAAGUUCUUAGUUUACAACGGAAAUUUGGUCAAUGGCAGGAGGAUGAUUCAUCUGAGGAGCACUCGGAUCUUAAGUUUUAUGAGUAUGUCGAAGCUGCAAAAUUGACUGGGGACAAUCUUGUGCCAGCGGGUCAGGUUGUCUUCCGUGCAAAAGUUGGCAAACACUAUCAGCUUCCUCAUAAGGGGGUCAUCCCUAGAGAACUUGGAGUGGUUGCUAGGUAUAAGGGGCAAAGGAGGAUUGCAGAUGCUGGCUUCAAAAAUCCUCGAUGGGUUGACGGCGAGCUUUUGAUACUAGAUGGAAAGUUCAUCAGAGAUGGUCCUGUGAUAGCUUUCUUCUACUGGACAUCAAAUCUCCAUCUUUUUGAAUUCUUUAGGCGGUUGAGUCUUCCUGACUAG
rnacentral:rRNA from 1 species